rnacentral:sRNA from 1 species
AUAUAGUUAACACAAAAUAUUUAUAAAAUUAUUGAUAUAUAUUUUGUUAUCUUGUUAACAUAAUAAAUAUCAGUUAAUUCAUAAUAUAUUAUUACUUAUAUAUUUGAUAAACAAUAUCAUUUGAAUAAGAUAAAAGAUGUCGAUAACAAUUUUCUUAUGUUGUUAAAUAAUUUAUUAUGAGCGAAAAAGUAUUUUUGUCUAACUUAUAAAAGUUGAAAAUAAUUAUGCAAAAACUAUAAAUAUAUUUUUAGUUUUUAUGUUUUUUAGGUACAUAAAUUAAUAUAGCCCAUCGUAAUACACUCAGAAAAUUUUACUUUCAAUGUAAAGAGAAGUUUAGGUAACUAACAAAUUACUUUUUCCAUACGCUCAUUAACUAGCUUGCCAAUUUUUUUCAAUAAAGUAGACUCACCUUGACCUUGGAUUAAAGUGGACGCAGAACCGCGUGAAUAAUCUGCUGUUGAGGGCAAGAUUAAUUUACGUACGUGAAUAGGUUACUGUGGUUUAACUUUUAAGCAAGGUGAAGUUGAAAAGAAAAAACAUUCGUAUACCCGAAAUGGAUCUUCUCGCCACGCAUAGUGCUUUAUGUAAGUUUACCCAAUGUUUUUUCUAAUUUAAAUAGCCUUCUUAAUUCCUCAAUCCUCAUUACAACAUCAUUUGCUUCCAUCUUUAUUCAUUGUUUUUUUUAUCAAACAAUUCAUUCAAUCAUUCUUCUUCUGUCUUAGUAUUUUCUCCAACAAAAAAGGUUUUUAAGAUUAUGGAAAACAUGUUUUUUUUUCUGAACUCGUUCAUUUUUUUUACCUUUUCUUUCUCUAAUAGAUUAGGAGAUAAAUGAAUUGAUAAUUUAGUUAUAAUCAGCAUAAUUGAUUUUAAUAUUAACAUCAUAGUUUCACAAUUGUUUUUUCAGAUUUCAUAACU